UAUCUGAAAGAAGAAAAAGGCAAUAAAUAUUAACUACCUCUAAAUUGAAGAGCUUUACAAGUAAAUGUUUAUGUUCACAAUGUUAACUGUUUCAAUUCGAUAAGUAGAAAUUCAUAUCCUAUUUGUCUAGAGCAUAAGUAUAAGUAGUACAGUCGGUUUAUGAUCAGACAGAAAAUGUAAGUACUUACUACUGUCAUAAAAGAUAUUAGUAUCAACUAUAUGAUUCUUAUACUAAAAUGAAACAUUCUAAGUUAUUUAUUACAAAACAAGUAAAUAUAUGUAUACAGACUGUUCCAACUAUCUGUUGGCCAAAAUGUAUAUAAUAUGAAAUAACGUACUAGGUGAAGCAAUUUUUCACCGAGAUUCUACUUUUUUAUUUACAUGUAUUAUUUUAAUUUAUGAAAUAAACGUAGGCAUGGAAUAUUCAGUGCGACGACUGAUUUUAUUAUACUAUUUGGUUUUAAUUUAAAAAUAUGAAUUUCUGCACUUUUGUAUGAGCAAUGCAGUAUAUUGCGAUAUAUUCAGAAAAAUAUGACUGUUUUUGCUCUAAAUGUCUCAAAUAAGGAAAAUUAUAAUAGAUUUAUAAAAAUUAAUGUAAGACAAAAUAUUCGUUCGAUCAAAGUUUUCCAAUACUAUCGAUCUUUUAAUUUUUCCUUUGAAGUCUCUGUUCCUAAAGAGGCUUCUUAUUUGUGAAUACUCACUGAUAAUAAUCUUCAUCGUUCAGGUCAGUGUAUAAUGGCAAACAUUUGCCAAACGCGAGAUCUGGAAUAUUAAAACGGAUAAUCGAAUGUUAUUCGUAUCAAGAGCCAGUGAUUGCAAAACAAAUAUAUUUUAUUGUUCAAGCAAUAACUACCAUUGUAACACGUUUCCGUUCGGGGAUCGCAGAGGCUCUCACUGAACAGGCACCCUGGAACAUGAAUUUAUACGUAUCAAUAGAAGACUAAUGAAGCUUUAAUUAACAAGGCUUUUUUUUAAAUACACGAUACCGAGCAAAAUUUGAUAACACUUCAUUAAUCAUCCUUCUGCAACCAAUUCAAAUAAUAUUCUCAUUGUCACAUUAAAUCCAAUGAAAUGUAAGGAAAGUACAAUACUUAUAAAAAAAUAAAUACUAGCAAGAUCUGAUUACUAAAAAUAUUAAUUUCGUCAUAUAUAACAAAAGUUCACAGUCUAAUGUUGAAUAUAUUAAACUAUGUUUUUAUGAUGUACUAUAAUCAUAAUUCUUAUGUUCAAUAGAAUCUCUUUUCUCACUUAAUGUAUGCAACGAUUAACGAUAUUUUCCUUAUUAAUUUUGUAUGUAAUAUAACUGUAUUACAUAUUUUAAUAUACUAAGUAUUACUGCUUUGUCUCACAUAAAAUUAACUUCAUAAUUACGAUGAAAAGUUGACUUUAAAGAUCAGAAACCGUCAUUUUUCAUGGCCCAUUAACUAACGUAACAAUUACUAAGAAUAUUAAAUGUUUUGAUGGUAUAAAUAAAAUUACGUUAUUUUCACUCGUAAUACAUUGACGCAAAUGUUUACGUCAUAAUCAUGUGUGGAGCGAUUUUCUGUCGCAUAUUCUAUAGUUGAGAUCGCAACGUAUUCGCUAAUUAGAAUACCGAGCACAACCCACUUUCAUUCCGUGGCUGCACGAUCGUUUAAUCCUUGAUAGGAGUUGAAUAAUCACACGGAGACUUUGUUAAUCUGCCACAUUAAACGUUAAUAUCCAUGCAUAUGCCUUGUUUUAUUGAUAAUUUAUACAUGAAUUUAUUAAUGGAAUGCUUUUAAAUAUUGUAAUUAAUCGUAUAUUAUUUUAAUUGAUACAUAAUACGAUAAAAUAAAGCACGAUCUAUUAACUAUUUAUCUAUAAUUUAAUUGUAUAUAAUUUAUAUCAUGUAGCUUGUAAUUACAUAUUAUAAUAUAUAUUUGUAACAAUAAAUUGAACCUAUCAGAAACCAAACUGAUCAACUCCACUUUUUAUUCAUUUUUAACUUCAUUGCAUAAAUACUUGCAGGAUUAAUGUUCGAUCGUCAAGAAACAAAUAAUUUACUUCCAUAAGUUCAUGUUGACAGAUAAUGAUGAUAGAAGACGACGCAAAUAAUAAUUAAUUUUAAAAUAAAUUUUAAGGAACAGUGUUUUCCAUACCUUUUUGAUUUAUGAAGUUGAUCUAACUUCUGAAUAACUCAAUUAUUAAUUAACCAUAUACAAUUACUUUAUUACAUAAAAAUAAUGUACACUUAAUUAUAACGUUAUGAUAAAUUACACUAAUUAUAGAUAUUGAUAUACUGUAUAUUAUAUUUAUUACAUAAAAUGUGAUGGUAUAAUAAAAGGCAAAACAGUGAAAUAAAUCUUCAGUAUGUAUAUACCUACAUACCUAUUUGUAUAGCCGUUUUAAGAAGCUUUUCAACAUUGGUCAAAUAGGGAAAAGAGUUAAAAUUUCCUCCCUUGAUAAAAUCUCAUUACUCCUUAACUUCCCAACAGGCAAUAUGGAACAGGCGGACGUCGUUUCAUUUCCCUUGACCUUCGUUUUAGAAUUGAGUUCUUCUGAGAAUUGGCUCGCGUUAACUACACUGACGCAACGAUUCUACAUUUUACAUCUCACAAGUAACAUUAAUGCCACAAAUUUAAUCAACAAAUCAUUUCAAUCUUUCAUAAUUUACACGAUAUACGCUGUACAAAUUUUGUUAUCCUGAAGUUUAUAUUCGAAUUGAAUUAAACCAUUUUGUCCAAUCAUUCUAUUAGAAAUGAUGUAAAACGAAAUAACAUUUUUAUAUUAUUAUAUAAAUUUUUAUAUCGUACUUUAUAACAUUCUUAUUUUGUCAUUUUAUUAGAAACGAGGAAAAGCUGUAUGGUAUAAUAACACAUUUCUUGAUGGUACUAUAGUUUCUCAAUUUAUUAAUUUCUGGAUUCCAGAUCUCUUCAAAGAGAUUUAAGAGAAUUGCCGCAUUAAAAGAGCAUCACAAUCGAGAAUUAAUAGCGAAGAAAUCUUCGUCAAACAGAGAAACAUUCUCGUGGAACCAUCGUUACUACUUAAAAUUACAAAGAGCACUUCUUUUAAUUCCUUUCCGAAGAGUUGUUAGAAACAACGAGAUAGGAGCGAAGAAAAAUUUGAAGAAGAAUAGCAAGGAAGCGGGUAUAAACAAAGAAUAGCAGGAAAACAGGUAUGGCGAAGAAUAACGAUGAAGGGUCGCAGUUGUGAGUGAAAACGGAUCUAGGGCAAAGGAGAGGAAGCAAGUUUGCAAAGGCGGUGGUCGCGUGGGAUGUACGGUUCGAUAAUCGUGGAUGGCUCGUGGGCGAAAAUCGAAUAUCAUCACCUUUUCUUUUUAUUUUUAUUUUUUUCAUCCUUCCAAUCCAGCCCUGGGAAGAAACAACGAAUUUUCAAGGUUACGAGUAAAUAAGCCCAUCUACAGCUUAUAUUUGAUCGGAUACUCGUGUGUGAAUAGCAGACACGACGAAGAGGUAUCGGAUAGAAAAUCGAUGGCAAGUGAAUUUGAUGAACGAGGUGCCACUGUAUGGAAAAAGAGACGUCGACGAAACUACUGAGACGAGAAAAUCCUAUCGGCAGUUCAGUUCCUCUUCUUCCGACCCCAGAUCGAGAGGCAAUUUUCAGGAACUAGAUCGUUUUCUCUUCUUCCUCGUUUUUAAACUUUGUGUUUAUCCAUCUUUUAAUAGAAAGAGAAUUACUCUGUUCUUCGGUGAAAGGGGGACUCUUCAGCAAAUCUAGCGGUGAGAAAGCGAUACUUUUAUUUAGGAGAGGACAAUGCUUCAAAUUGAUUUCGUUUUCUUUUAUUGCAUAUCUGCAGGAUAUUAUGCCAUUUUUUAAAGAGAACUUUUCUGCACUGGUAAUAAAAAAGCAAUAUCUUUGUUUCUGAAACAAAAAUGUUUUUAGAUUGAUUUCUUUAUAUUCGUUGGCAUUUUUUUUCUUUGAUAACAGGAAGUAAUCGAUAUUAUAGAAAUAAAAGAGCAGGCAAAUUAUGAAAGCGAAUGCCGAAGGGGACGUAAAGAGACUCCAAUACUUCAUACGGUGUGCAAUGAAAAUUAGAGGAAUUUGCAUCAAGUACUAAGACAGCAUAUCUUUAUUUAGGAUAAUGCGAUGUAAAUUACCAGUAGUAAGGAUUGAAAUAAGACUCAAAUGGAUAGUACAAACCAACACUAUAUCAAAGAAAUAUUAUUACAAAUAUAUCUACUUGUAUAGUAAUAUUAUCGCUUUUAAAAAGGGCUUUAAAAUAAUAAAGCGAUAUAAUUAACAUUUUAUUUUAGAGUGAAUUACAACCUGUGAAGAAGAAAUUUAAAGUUCCAAGGAUCAUCUUGCGAACAUCUUAAAAAAGAUGAAUGCUAAUCGUAUUACUUGUUUCAAAAAAAAAAAGAAAAAAAAAAGGAAAAGCACAGAUAAAAUAAUUUGCAAAUAAUAUUGAAAUGUUCAAACGAAGUUUUAUAAGUAAAUUGAAUUUCAGGAGUUUUGCCAUGAAAAUAGUUAAGCAAAUGCGAAAACUUCCACUAGCUUUUCUGUAUGAAUCGUUUCGUCUUACGAGCGAUAAAAGAAUGAAUUGUAUUUCGGAUAUUUUCAAAAAUCGAGUAAAACUUUGACGUUUAUUUCAUCAUGCCGUAAAAGUUCGUAACAUUUCAAUGUUUGCUUAUUGAUCAUAUUUCAUUUUAAAUAUUAAAGAUCGCACAAAGAGAAUUUGAAAAUUCUUUUCGAACUCUUCGUACAUCCUUUUGUGUAUUUCAAAUUAUCAGAUGUCAAAUUUUAAAGAAAUUCAAUGAUUAAUAAUUUGAAUUAAAAAAAUUCACUAUCGAAAACAACAAAAUAUUUGAAAUUUCAAAUUGAAAAAUUCAAAUAGUUCAAACGUCUAGUAAUUAUAAAAUAUUAAAUUGUUAACGUUCAUAUAGUUGGAAUUCUGAAUAAUUACAUAAUAUUAUGUAUAAAUACAUAUUCAUCAUUUAAUAACUAUAUUUUACACACGCGUGCAAGAGCCUUAUCUAAAAUGUCACGCGUGAUUUUAAAACACAUUUUGUGGUAAAAUAACGUAGGUAUGAAAAGUAAGAAACGAAUAAGAAAGAAAACCACAAAACAAAGGAAGAGAAAGACAUAUAUUAAUUAAAAUUAGCGCAUAGCAAUCCAUAGCAAUCCAUAUUCUAAAAAAUGUUGGCUCUUUCUAACACUUGUGUAAUCUUCAUUCAAUUCCAUUUUAGCGAAUCUAUUUGCAAUAAAUUAAAGAGUACUAUAUUUCUCUAAACCUUCGUUAAUCUUCACUAAUAGAAGUUUUCUUGCAGAUGAUAUUGAAAUAUCAUUCUAUUCUCAUGGUAUUCCGAGAAAUGGUAUUCCAUCAGAAGAAAUGUUUGAAGUGAGAAAAAGGAAGGAAGAAUAUCGGAGAAAUGAGAUUUUCGCUGAAAUAUCGAUCACGCUGAGGAUAUAAGCAUGAAAUAAUAAAUACAUCGAGUUUUUCUAAACGCGAGGACCAUAAGUAUAAUAAAAGAAGAAAAUCUGGCGUGUAUUAUAUUAUGUCAUAAGAAAGGUGCUAAUGGCGAAAUAUGAUUAAAUAAAACAGGUAUUAUAUAAUAGCAAUAAAAGUCAUCCUUUGUAAAGCAGUAACCUUCGUACCUUACUAUUUAUACAAUGAUAUUGGAUAGCCAUUGAAACGGAAUUAAGAGUUUAUUAUGAAAGGGAGAUUCGUUUAUUCCUUAUUGCGAAGACAUUCAAGGAUUUAUCUCGAUUGCUGGAAUAAUCUUGAAUCUGUAGUACUUACCGACAUCACCAUCACCUAGAAUUACGUGAUGGAGAAUGAAGAGCACUAACAGUAUCGAGCCUCCUCGCCACCACUGUUUACGGCCCAUAGAUCUUCCUAUAAUUACAUAUAUCCAUGUUAGUUUGUUAUUCAAGAUUAAGUAGAUAAGUUCAUAAGAAUAUUCUUUUUCUUUCAAUUUCAGUCUUAUAAUAUAGUAUUAUGUUUCUUUUUGCAAAUGAAAAAUGGCAAGAAUAGCUUGGACAGGAACGAAGAUAGUGCGAAGAUAGUUGAGAAAGAUCGUUUCUUUUUUCAGAAAGUUCAUAGUUCAUAGUCGAUAGCACAGUUAUUUUCAUUAAGCUAGGCCGAGCUGGUACUUCCCCCGAUUAAUGAAAAAACGUAGAUCUUCAUUUUUAAUGAGACGAAGCAAAAAAAGAAAAAAAGAGCAAGCGAGCCAGAGGAUAUCUGAGAGAUUGCAUUCUGCAUAUAAAAAUAGAGUACAAUUGCGAAUUUUUCUCUUCUUUAAUUAUUUGUUGAAAAGUGUACAAGCUGUUUGGUCUACGGUACUACGGUCUACAUGGCAACUUGUUAGAGUAAUCGAGUUAUACCUUAGCUGCUCGAAACUGUUCUCUUGUGAGCGUAGUGAACCUAUAUUAAGGUAUAACAACGAGCUUCAUCAAGAUCAUCCAAAAAGCAUAACUACCACAUUAAUUUAAUCAACGUUGAAACAACGAGCCGGUGGAUACCGCAUAGCUUUAUAAAGGGUGCGGUACACCUUUGCAUAACGACACGAGAUCUGCGUUUACGCAAUCACAGUAUGUAUAUACCCCUAUAGUCGAACAAUAUCGGAGCGUGAACAAAACAAGUUACAGCACUGUUAUCGGAAAACAGCUUACUAAAGCGCAACAAUCCAGAAUUUAAUCUCGACCAACCGGUCCAAUUUUCCGAUCGUACCCCCAAGUAAUUACUUCUAUCUCAAUUACCAUACCUAUGCUUGAAUAAAAACAGCUGUUCACUUUGUAUCUUUUUAACAAUCAUUCCUUUCAACAAUAAUUUUUACCUUCUAUCUUGUAAGUUGAAAAAUGAACAAGUUAAUAUACUUAAUUGCACAUCUACUCGAUCCUGAGUUUGAACAGUGCGUAAAUUAACAAUUCCUUUAAUUUUCCACGAAAGUGGCAAGAUUCCGCGAAUCACCGACCACGUCUCUAGUUAUAUGGCCGAAGCAUCAGGUUGUAGUCACGUUCCCUCCCCCUCCGUCUCUCCCUUAUUCCUGCGGACCUGUAUGUCGCUUUGUAGCGGCAAGAAACGUGUCUCUUUUUCGACUUACCU